rnacentral:lncRNA from 1 species
GAGCGCCUUAGCUUUUUGGAUGGCCCUGCUUUCUCUGGCCCGGAUCCAAUACACCACUUAGACAUCUGCUUAACUUUAAGCAUAUGACAUCCGGGACACAAAGUGAGUGUAGUGCAUCACUGUGUGAAAACCAGAAAGUUUUGAAGAAAUAGCCGAUAGUCUCUUCUUAAUUCCUUCUACUGCCAGCCCUCGAAGCAAAACCCGUUGUCUUUGGGUGUGCUCCUGCUGCUGUGCGUUUGCAGAGGGAAAAUGUGCAGGGGUCAGCAGUUUCAGAGGCAGGCUCUAAUUUUAGGUUCUCAGCUUUAGAUAUUUUGGGACGGAACUUGGGACACAGCAAAAGAAGUGUUGAGGAGCCAUAAAUCUGGAUGAAGUAAGCAACACCCAGCACCUCGCGAGCCGAAGACCUAAAACCAGAGACGCUUCUAUUUAGAAGGGGAAAAAAAAAAAAAAGUCCUAGCAUUUGCCAGAUGCUGUUUUUCUUAGUUCUUGAGGUUUCUAUCCUUCGCCACACUUCCCGCUAUUCCUAUUUUCGUAUCGCCGUCACUCACAGCACUGACAUUCACCAACCAAUCCAUGGC